GUGGGGAAUUUUGGACAAUGGGCGAAAGCCUGAUCCAGCAAUGCCGCGUGCAGGAUGAAGGCCCUCGGGUUGUAAACUGCUUUUGUACGGAACGAAAAGCCUGGGGCUAAUAUCCCCGGGUCAUGACGGUACCGUAAGAAUAAGCACCGGCUAACUACGUGCCAGCAGCCGCGGUAAUACGUAGGGUGCAAGCGUUAAUCGGAAUUACUGGGCGUAAAGAGUGCGCAGGCGGUUUUGUAAGACAGUGGUGAAAUCCCCGGGCUCAACCUAGGAACUGACAUUGUGACUGCAAGGCUAGAGUGCGGCAGAGGGGGAUGGAAUUCCGCGUGUAGCAGUGAAAUGCGUAGAUAUGCGGAGGAACACCGAUGGCGAAGGCAAUCCCCUGGGCCUGCACUGACGCUCAUGCACGAAAGCGUGGGGAGCAAACAGGAUUAGAUACCCUGGUAGUCC
rnacentral:rRNA from 1 species